rnacentral:misc_RNA from 1 species
AACUGAUACUACCUGCGGGAACCUGCGGAGGGAUCAUUAUCGAGUUUUGAACGGGUUGUAGCUGGUCUUUAACGAGACAUGUGCACGCCUGGCUCAUCCACUCUCAACCUCUGUGCACUUUAUGUAAGAAACGGUGUAAGCCAGCUAUCUAAUAGUUGGUAAUAAGCCUUUCUUAUGUUUACUACAAACGCUUCAGUUAUAGAAUGUUUACUGUGUAUAACACAAUUAUAUACAACUUUU